CAACUUUUAACAACGGAUCUCUCGGUCUCGCAUCGAUGAAGAACGUAGCAAAUUGCGAUAACUAGUGUGAAUUGCAUUUUCAGUGAAUCAUCGAGUCUUUGAACGCAUCUUGCGCUCUUGGGAUUCUUCCCUAGAGCACACUUGCUUCAGUAUCAUA
rnacentral:rRNA from 1 species